rnacentral:misc_RNA from 1 species
GAAAUGCGAUAAGUAAUGUGAAUUGCAGAAUUCCGUGAAUCAUCGAAUCUUUGAACGCACAUUGCGCCCUCUGGUAUUCCGGGGGCAUGCCUGUCCGAGCGUCAUUGCGAACCCCUCAAGCACGGCUUGUGUGAUGGGCCCUCCCGCGUCUUGGUCGUCAAGACGGGCCCGAAAUGCAGUGGCGGCUUCGCGGUUAUCCGAUCAGCCAGAGCGUAUGGGGACUCUCUCUCUUGUCACACGCCCGCGGCGCGGACCGACGCCUGUCGACCUUUAUUCAUCUUCUCUCGGUUGACCUCGGAUCAGGUAGGUAUACCCGCUGAACUUAAGC